rfam:Triticum aestivum genome assembly, contig: Triticum_aestivum_CS42_TGACv1_scaffold_063835_1DL
AAAGUACUCCCUCCGUCCCAAAAUUCUUGUCUUAGAUUUGUCUAGAUACGGAUGUAUCAAGUCACAUUUUAGUAUUAGAUACAUCCGUAUCUAGACAAAUCUAAGACAAGAAAUUUGGGACAAAGGGAGUAGUUG